rnacentral:rRNA from 1 species
GUUAAGCGACUAAGCGUACACGGUGGAUGCCCUGGCAGUCAGAGGCGAUGAAGGACGUGCUAAUCUGCGAUAAGCGUCGGUAAGGUGAUAUGAACCGUUAUAACCGGCGAUUUCCGAAUGGGGAAACCCAGUGUGAUUCGUCACACUAUCAUUAACUGAAUCCAUAGGUUAAUGAGGCGAACCGGGGGAACUGAAACAUCUAAGUACCCCGAGGAAAAGAAAUCAACCGAGAUUCCCCCAGUAGCGGCGAGCGAACGGGGAGGAGCCCAGAGCCUGAAUCAGUGUGUGUGUUAGUGGAAGCGUCUGGAAAGGCGCGCGAUACAGGGUGACAGCCCCGUACACAAAAAUGCACAUGCUGUGAGCUCGAUGAGUAGGACGGGACACGUGGUAUCCUGUCUGAAUAUGGGGGGACCAUCCUCCAAGGCUAAAUACUCCUGACUGACCGAUAGUGAACCAGUACCGUGAGGGAAAGGCGAAAAGAACCCCGGCGAGGGGAGUGAAAAAGAACCUGAAACCGUGUACGUACAAGCAGUGGGAGCACAGAGCAAUCUGUGUGACUGCGUACCUUUUGUAUAAUGGGUCAGCGACUUAUAUUCUGUAGCAAGGUUAACCGAAUAGGGGAGCCGAAGGGAAACCGAGUCUUAACUGGGCGUUAAGUUGCAGGGUAUAGACCCGAAACCCGGUGAUCUAGCCAUGGGCAGGUUGAAGGUUGGGUAACACUAACUGGAGGACCGAACCGACUAAUGUUGAAAAAUUAGCGGAUGACUUGUGGCUGGGGGUGAAAGGCCAAUCAAACCGGGAGAUAGCUGGUUCUCCCCGAAAGCUAUUUAGGUAGCGCCUCGUGAAUUCAUCUCCGGGGGUAGAGCACUGUUUCGGCAAGGGGGUCAUCCCGACUUACCAACCCGAUGCAAACUGCGAAUACCGGAGAAUGUUAUCACGGGAGACACACGGCGGGUGCUAACGUCCGUCGUGAAGAGGGAAACAACCCAGACCGCCAGCUAAGGUCCCAAAGUCAUGGUUAAGUGGGAAACGAUGUGGGAAGGCCCAGACAGCCAGGAUGUUGGCUUAGAAGCAGCCAUCAUUUAAAGAAAGCGUAAUAGCUCACUGGUCGAGUCGGCCUGCGCGGAAGAUGUAACGGGGCUAAACCAUGCACCGAAGCUGCGGCAGCGACGCUUAUGCGUUGUUGGGUAGGGGAGCGUUCUGUAAGCCUGUGAAGGUGUACUGUGAGGUAUGCUGGAGGUAUCAGAAGUGCGAAUGCUGACAUAAGUAACGAUAAAGCGGGUGAAAAGCCCGCUCGCCGGAAGACCAAGGGUUCCUGUCCAACGUUAAUCGGGGCAGGGUGAGUCGACCCCUAAGGCGAGGCCGAAAGGCGUAGUCGAUGGGAAACAGGUUAAUAUUCCUGUACUUGGUGUUACUGCGAAGGGGGGACGGAGAAGGCUAUGUUGGCCGGGCGACGGUUGUCCCGGUUUAAGCGUGUAGGCUGGUUUUCCAGGCAAAUCCGGAAAAUCAAGGCUGAGGCGUGAUGACGAGGCACUACGGUGCUGAAGCAACAAAUGCCCUGCUUCCAGGAAAAGCCUCUAAGCAUCAGGUAACAUCAAAUCGUACCCCAAACCGACACAGGUGGUCAGGUAGAGAAUACCAAGGCGCUUGAGAGAACUCGGGUGAAGGAACUAGGCAAAAUGGUGCCGUAACUUCGGGAGAAGGCACGCUGAUAUGUAGGUGAAGUCCCUCGCGGAUGGAGCUGAAAUCAGUCGAAGAUACCAGCUGGCUGCAACUGUUUAUUAAAAACACAGCACUGUGCAAACACGAAAGUGGACGUAUACGGUGUGACGCCUGCCCGGUGCCGGAAGGUUAAUUGAUGGGGUCAGCGCAAGCGAAGCUCUUGAUCGAAGCCCCGGUAAACGGCGGCCGUAACUAUAACGGUCCUAAGGUAGCGAAAUUCCUUGUCGGGUAAGUUCCGACCUGCACGAAUGGCGUAAUGAUGGCCAGGCUGUCUCCACCCGAGACUCAGUGAAAUUGAACUCGCUGUGAAGAUGCAGUGUACCCGCGGCAAGACGGAAAGACCCCGUGAACCUUUACUAUAGCUUGACACUGAACAUUGAGCCUUGAUG